rnacentral:rRNA from 1 species
UUAGAGGAAGUAAAAGUCGUAACAAGGUUUCCGUAGGUGAACCUGCGGAAGGAUCAUUAUCGAGUUUUGAACGGGUUGUCUGCUGGCUCGCAAGGGCAUGUGCACGCCUGUCUCAUCCACUCUCAACUUCUGUGCACUUUUCAUAGGCCGGCUUGUGGGUGCGUUCGCGCACUUGUAGGUGUCGGGCUUAUGCUUUAUUACAAACGAUUCAGUUUUAGAAUGUCAUACUUUGCUAUAACGCAAUUUAUAUACAACUUUCAGCAACGGAUCUCUUGGCUCUCGCAUCGAUGAAGAACGCAGCGAAAUGCGAUAAGUAAUGUGAAUUGCAGAAUUCAGUGAAUCAUCGAAUCUUUGAACGCACCUUGCGCUCCUUGGUAUUCCGAGGAGCAUGCCUGUUUGAGUCUCAUGGAAUUCUCAACCUUCGGCUUCAUUGACGAAGGCUUGGACUUGGAGGUCGUGCCGGCUCUCGUAGUCGGCUCCUCUGAAAUGCAUUAGUGCGAACGUUACCGACCGCUUCAGCGUGAUAAUUAUCUGCGUUGCUGUGGAGGGUAUUCUAGUGUUCACGCUUCUAACCGUCUUCGGACAAAUUUCUGAACUCUGAGCUCAAAUCAGGUAGGACUACCCGCUGAACUUAAGCAUAUCAAU